GAGUGUCUCUUAUUAACUUAUAGAAGUGAAGAAUCAUCACCAGUAGAGAAGCAAAAAAUAAAGAAAAAGACACAGAGAAUACCAAAAGACACAAUCCAAAAAGAAAAAGGUCAUUGUUGAGGAUUCAUCUCCUGAGCAAGCUCAAUCCUAUCAUGGAUCUGAAAUUAGAACUGAAGAUUUAGAUGAAUUCUUAAGGGAAAACAAUGAAAAAUCUGCUGCAGAGGGGGAGAAGGAAACUGACUUGCGAUCGACGGAAGGUCACUAUGUCUCAUCUGAAACAAUAUCGGACGUAAACUUGGGAAGUGAUGAUCCUUCCUCUCAAGGACACACAGAACAAAGUAGCGUAAACAAACCGGCAGAGAGCAUGUUGAGUUUGGUUGAAGAGUCAGCCAGUGAGCCGGCUGAAGAGAAUAUGGUGGUUGUGAGGGAAGAGAUACCGUCCGAAGCGCUUGCAAUAGUUCCGAUUCAAGUUUGUCUACCACUGUCCCAAACAACCACUAUGCCGGAAAUUGAACAAACACCUGAGAUAGAAAAUGAACCAAUCCCUGUGCUACAAAUUGAAGGAACUACAGAAAGCUAAGAAAUACUCUUGGGUGUAUAUUUGGUUACAGUUUGGGUGUAUAUUGCCCCAGUUGGGGUGUAUAUUUUCACGAUUGAACCCUGACUAGUUUUUUUAUAACAUGAUUAUUUUUAUGUAACCGUGCAGCACUCCUGAACCCCCCUCCCCAACAACUUGAAGAAAGCACACCCACACUUUCCCCAGCUCCAUCUAAUAUUAAUCCAGCCCCAGAAGACGCUGUUACGCUGAUGAUGAUGACACGGACAGCAUCGUAUGUUCCUAAAACAGAUCAAAUGCCAUCAUUCAGGCUAGGCUUGGCUUGACUGAUUCAAGCCAAGAAGAAGCAGCAACGCAGGAGGGAGCGUCAACGCAAGAUGGAGGGAGGGCAAAAACUCCAAAAACCCCAAAACUGCUAGAAUAAUUAGGGGAUCUGGUACAAAAAAUUGCAAGUGGUAGGGUCACAACAAAAGAAAAAAGUCCGCAGAUUCCAAAAGAGAGUGACGCAGAGAGUUUCAAGAAGUUUGAAACUCCUGCGAGGACGAAUCAACAUAGU